AGAAGCCAUUUGGGGUCGGCUGGCUCCGGAGCUGUGCGAGGUGGACACACAAAACCGAAAGCCGAAGUUGGAAAA
rfam:Equus caballus chromosome 15, whole genome shotgun sequence.